rnacentral:rRNA from 1 species
AGCGUACACGGUGGAUGCCCUGGCAGUCAGAGGCGAUGAAGGACGUGCUAAUCUGCGAUAAGCGUCGGUGAGGUGAUAUGAACCGUUAUAACCGGCGAUUUCCGAAUGGGGAAACCCAGUGUGUUUCGACACACUAUCAUUAACUGAAUCCAUAGGUUAAUGAGGCGAACCGGGGGAACUGAAACAUCUAAGUACCCCGAGGAAAAGAAAUCAACCGAGAUUCCCCCAGUAGCGGCGAGCGAACGGGGAGGAGCCCAGAGCCUGAAUCAGUGUGUGUGUUAGUGGAAGCGUCUGGAAAGGCGUGCGAUACAGGGUGACAGCCCCGUACACAAAAAUGCACAUAUUGUGAGCUCGAUGAGUAGGGCGGGACACGUGGUAUCCUGUCUGAAUAUGGGGGGACCAUCCUCCAAGGCUAAAUACUCCUGACUGACCGAUAGUGAACCAGUACCGUGAGGGAAAGGCGAAAAGAACCCCGGCGAGGGGAGUGAAAAAGAACCUGAAACCGUGUACGUACAAGCAGUGGGAGCCUCUUAAUGGGGUGACUGCGUACCUUUUGUAUAAUGGGUCAGCGACUUAUAUUCUGUAGCAAGGUUAACCGAAUAGGGGAGCCGAAGGGAAACCGAGUCUUAACUGGGCGUUAAGUUGCAGGGUAUAGACCCGAAACCCGGUGAUCUAGCCAUGGGCAGGUUGAAGGUUGGGUAACACUAACUGGAGGACCGAACCGACUAAUGUUGAAAAAUUAGCGGAUGACUUGUGGCUGGGGGUGAAAGGCCAAUCAAACCGGGAGAUAGCUGGUUCUCCCCGAAAGCUAUUUAGGUAGCGCCUCGUGAAUUCAUCUCCGGGGGUAGAGCACUGUUUCGGCAAGGGGGUCAUCCCGACUUACCAACCCGAUGCAAACUGCGAAUACCGGAGAAUGUUAUCACGGGAGACACACGGCGGGUGCUAACGUCCGUCGUGAAGAGGGAAACAACCCAGACCGCCAGCUAAGGUCCCAAAGUCAUGGUUAAGUGGGAAACGAUGUGGGAAGGCCCAGACAGCCAGGAUGUUGGCUUAGAAGCAGCCAUCAUUUAAAGAAAGCGUAAUAGCUCACUGGUCGAGUCGGCCUGCGCGGAAGAUGUAACGGGGCUAAACCAUGCACCGAAGCUGCGGCAGCGACACUAUGUGUUGUUGGGUAGGGGAGCGUUCUGUAAGCCUGUGAAGGUGGCCUGUGAGGGUUGCUGGAGGUAUCAGAAGUGCGAAUGCUGACAUAAGUAACGAUAAAGCGGGUGAAAAGCCCGCUCGCCGGAAGACCAAGGGUUCCUGUCCAACGUUAAUCGGGGCAGGGUGAGUCGACCCCUAAGGCGAGGCCGAAAGGCGUAGUCGAUGGGAAACAGGUUAAUAUUCCUGUACUUGGUGUUACUGCGAAGGGGGGACGGAGAAGGCUAUGUUGGCCGGGCGACGGUUGUCCCGGUUUAAGCGUGUAGGCUGGUUUUCCAGGCAAAUCCGGAAAACCAAGGCUGAGGCGUGAUGACGAGGCACUACGGUGCUGAAGCGACAAAUGCCCUGCUUCCAGGAAAAGCCUCUAAGCAUCAGGUAACAUCAAAUCGUACCCCAAACCGACACAGGUGGUCAGGUAGAGAAUACCAAGGCGCUUGAGAGAACUCGGGUGAAGGAACUAGGCAAAAUGGUGCCGUAACUUCGGGAGAAGGCACGCUGAUAUGUAGGUGAAGUCCCUCGCGGAUGGAGCUGAAAUCAGUCGAAGAUACCAGCUGGCUGCAACUGUUUAUUAAAAACACAGCACUGUGCAAACACGAAAGUGGACGUAUACGGUGUGACGCCUGCCCGGUGCCGGAAGGUUAAUUGAUGGGGUUAGCGGCAACGCGAAGCUCUUGAUCGAAGCCCCGGUAAACGGCGGCCGUAACUAUAACGGUCCUAAGGUAGCGAAAUUCCUUGUCGGGUAAGUUCCGACCUGCACGAAUGGCGUAAUGAUGGCCAGGCUGUCUCCACCCGAGACUCAGUGAAAUUGAACUCGCUGUGAAGAUGCAGUGUACCCGCGGCAAGACGGAAAGACCCCGUGAACCUUUACUAUAGCUUGACACUGAACAUUGAGCCUUGAUGUGUAGGAUAGGUGGGAGGCUUUGAAGUGUGGACGCCAGUCUGCAUGGAGCCGACCUUGAAAUACCACCCUUUAAUGUUUGAUGUUCUAACGUUGGCCCGUAAUCCGGGUUGCGGACAGUGUCUGGUGGGUAGUUUGACUGGGGCGGUCUCCUCCUAAAGAGUAACGGAGGAGCACGAAGGUUGGCUAAUCCUGGUCGGACAUCAGGAGGUUAGUGCAAUGGCAUAAGCCAGCUUGACUGCGAGCGUGACGGCGCGAGCAGGUGCGAAAGCAGGUCAUAGUGAUCCGGUGGUUCUGAAUGGAAGGGCCAUCGCUCAACGGAUAAAAGGUACUCCGGGGAUAACAGGCUGAUACCGCCCAAGAGUUCAUAUCGACGGCGGUGUUUGGCACCUCGAUGUCGGCUCAUCACAUCCUGGGGCUGAAGUAGGUCCCAAGGGUAUGGCUGUUCGCCAUUUAAAGUGGUACGCGAGCUGGGUUUAGAACGUCGUGAGACAGUUCGGUCCCUAUCUGCCGUGGGCGCUGGAGAACUGAGGGGGGCUGCUCCUAGUACGAGAGGACCGGAGUGGACGCAUCACUGGUGUUCGGGUUGUCAUGCCAAUGGCACUGCCCGGUAGCUAAAUGCGGAAGAGAUAAGUGCUGAAAGCAUCUAAGCACGAAACUUGCCCCGAGAUGAGUUCUCCCUGACUCCUUGA